CUCAGUAGCUGAGUGGAUAGCGCGAUGGCGUUUGGAGCAGACGGUAACGGGUUCAAGUAUCAGGGCGAACA
rnacentral:tRNA from 1 species